GACAGAGGGUGCAAACGUUGCUCGGAAUUACUGGGCGUAAAGAGCGUGUAGGCGGCCAGGUAGGUCUGGUGUGAAAACUCGAGGCUUAACCUCGAGAUGUCAUCGGAAACCAUCUGGCUAGAGUCCGGAAGAGGAGAGUGGAAUUCCUGGUGUAGCGGUGAAAUGCGCAGAUAUCAGGAAGAACACCAAUGGCGAAAGCAGCUCUCUGGGACGGUACUGACGCUGAGACGCGAAAGCGUGGGGAGCGAACAGG
rnacentral:rRNA from 1 species